UACGAAGGGGGCUAGCGUUGCUCGGAAUUACUGGGCGGAAAGCGCACGUAGGCGGCUUCUUAAGUCGGUGGUGAAAUCCUGGAGCUCAACUCCAGAACUGCCUUCGAUACUGAGAAGCUCGAGUCCGGGAGAGGUGAGUGGAAUUCCGAGUGUAGAGGUGAAAUUCGUAGAUAUUCGGAAGAACACCAGUGGCGAAGGCGACUCACUGGACACGUAUUGACGCUGAGGUGCGAAAGCGUGGGGAGCAAACAGG
rnacentral:rRNA from 1 species